AGAGUUUGAUCCUGGCUCAGGAUGAACGCUAGCUACAGGCUUAACACAUGCAAGUCGAGGGGCAGCAUGACGGAAGCUUGCUUUCGUUGAUGGCGACCGGCGCACGGGUGAGUAACGCGUAUCCAACCUGCCCUUGUCCAUCGGAUAACCCGUCGAAAGGCGGACUAACACGAUAUGCAGUUCUCAGCAGGCAUCUAACGAGAACGAAAUGUGAAGGAGAAGGAUGGGGAUGCGUCUGAUUAGCUUGUUGGCGGGGUAACGGCCCACCAAGGCGACGAUCAGUAGGGGUUCUGAGAGGAAGGUCCCCCACAUUGGAACUGAGACACGGUCCAAACUCCUACGGGAGGCAGCAGUGAGGAAUAUUGGUCAAUGGGCGAGAGCCUGAACCAGCCAAGUAGCGUGCAGGAUGACGGCCCUAUGGGUUGUAAACUGCUUUUAUAAGGGAAUAAAGUGAGUCUCGUGAGACUUUUUGCAUGUACCUUAUGAAUAAGGACCGGCUAAUUCCGUGCCAGCAGCCGCGGUAAUACGGAAGGUCCGGGCGUUAUCCGGAUUUAUUGGGUUUAAAGGGAGCGUAGGCCGUCUGUUAAGCGUGUUGUGAAAUGUCGGGGCUCAACCUGGGCAUUGCAGCGCGAACUGGCAGACUUGAGUGCACGGGAAGUAGGCGGAAUUCGUCGUGUAGCGGUGAAAUGCUUAGAUAUGACGAAGAACUCCGAUUGCGAAGGCAGCCUGCUGUAGUGCAACUGACGCUGAAGCUCGAAAGCGUGGGUAUCGAACAGGAUUAGAUACCCUGGUAGUCCACGCGGUAAACGAUGGAUGCUCGCUGUUUGCGUCUGACGUAAGCGGCCAAGCGAAAGCGUUAAGCAUCCCACCUGGGGAGUACGCCGGCAACGGUGAAACUCAAAGGAAUUGACGGGGGCCCG
rnacentral:rRNA from 1 species